rnacentral:rRNA from 1 species
ACUCCUACGGGAGGCAGCAGUGGGGAAUUUUGGACAAUGGGCGAAAGCCUGAUCCAGCAAUGCCGCGUGAGUGAAGAAGGCCUUCGGGUUGUAAAGCACUUUUGUCAGGGAAGAAACGGUGAGAGCUAAUAUCUCUUGCUAAUGACGGUACCUGAAGAAUAAGCACCGGCUAACUACGUGCCAGCAGCCGCGGUAAUACGUAGGGUGCAAGCGUUAAUCGGAAUUACUGGGCGUAAAGCGUGCGCAGGCGGUUUUGUAAGUCUGAUGUGAAAUCCCCGGGCUCAACCUGGGAAUUGCAUUGGAGACUGCAAGGCUAGAAUCUGGCAGAGGGGGGUAGAAUUCCACGUGUAGCAGUGAAAUGCGUAGAUAUGUGGAGGAACACCGAUGGCGAAGGCAGCCCCCUGGGUCAAGAUUGACGCUCAUGCACGAAAGCGUGGGGAGCAAACAGGAUUAGAUACCCUGGUAGUCCCAUGA